rnacentral:rRNA from 1 species
UACGUAGGUGACCAGCGUUGUCCGGAUUUACUGGGCGUAAAGAGCGCGCAGGCGGUCGUUCAAGUCGAGUGUGAAAGCCCCGGGCUCAACCUGGGAAUUGCAUUCGAGACUGCAUGGCUAGGAUGCGGAAGAGGGAAGCGGAAUUUCCGGUGUAGCGGUGAAAUGCGUAGAUAUCGGAAGGAACACCAGUGGCGAAAGCGGCUUCCUGGUCCAGCAUCGACGUUCAGGCACGAAAGCGUGGGGAGCAAACAGG